rnacentral:rRNA from 1 species
AUGACUCCUCCUGUGAAGUUUACCAACGCCAAAGAUGUCGAUGGCGCUAGAGAGGAGAUAUUCCAAAUUCUUCGAAACAAGGGAGAAGAAAGGGUCAUCUAUUUUCAUGGUUGGAGUGGGCUUGGGGCAUCUAUCGUUCUUAGAUCCAUAGCAGAAGUUAUCCCUUUAAAGAGAACCACUCCGGAACUAUGCUUUGAUAAAAUAAUUCAUAUAGAUUGCUCGGAGUGGAAAGGUAGGAGGGCGUUGCAGAGAGCAAUCGCUGAGGAGCUACAACUUGAUAGCUCAGUAAUGGAUAUACUGGAUAAGCAGGAUGGAGAUGAUGAUUUUAAUGGAGUUGAUGAAAUUUCAAGGGAUGAAAUAACCAUUGUGUCAGAAGAGAUCUAUCACAUUCUGAAGGACAGUAGAUUUAUUCUUAUUUUCCAUUCCGGGAUUGAUGAUGAGAUCGAUCUAUAUCCCCUUGGUAUUCCUUCACUUGGCAAGUUCACAAAGAACAUAAUGAUAUGGACAUACAAAAGGAGGAUAUUGACCAUAACUGAACACGAACAACAUAAACUAAUACAAAAACUGAGGUACACCCAUCUUUUGGCUUAUGAUAGAGAAAAAUAUCUAACAAGUGGACAGUUGUAUACACUAUUGUGUAAAGAGGCUGCCCUCAUAAUUGCUCACUAUCAAUGCUUGUGGGGAGUCAGUCCAAUGAAGGUUGUUGACUGUUAUGUUUACACACUAUUCCUGCAACGUAGUUUUCACAACAAGACCAAUUCUGAUUGGGUUGGUGUUGCUUCCAAUUGUUGGAUAUGUGAUGGGAUACUGCAGAAAGACAUAACAUUGGAGAUAUGUGACGCUUUGCACCAAGAGAUAAGCUGGGAGUGUGAUGAUAAUGGGCUCGCAAAGUUCAAGAAAGAUUUCAAGCUUCCUUUCCUGGUUGUUAAAGAAGAUGGUGUAUAUGAACAAGGACAAUACCGUUGGAUUUCAACCAGGUCAAUGGAUAGGGAAGUACAUGGUAUGAAAUCUUUACCUGAAGAGACAUUGUCAUUCUUCUUGGAAUUUGUAAUGUCCAAUCAGCCAGUAGCAUUACCCGAUGGUUUGUUUGAACAUUCCAACAACCUUGGUGUGCUAUUUCUCUGUUGUUGUGCCUUCAAUUUUGCAUCACCUCCUUUCUUGAAAUGCCAUAGCAUAAGAUUCCUGGUCUGGAGAAUUGUACAGAUGACAAAACAGGUGAAGGAAAGGAUCAUACUGAGUGGGUUUGUCUUCAUAGCUUAUGGGUGUUGGACCUACGCUACACUGACUAGAAUGAAAUCUUAUCACCGACAAAGAUGGACCUCAUGGAUAACCUCAUGGAGCUAA